GUGCUCGUUUUGGCAGCACAUUUACUGAAAAUUGGAACAAUAAAGAGAAGAUUAGCAUGACCCCUGCACAAGGAAAACAUACAAAUUCAUGAAGUGUUCCAUAUUUUU